rnacentral:rRNA from 1 species
AUGGCCACCGACCAGGCGACGAAUAAUGAAAUGGUGCCCAAAGAAUUGAAAGGAGGUGCAACGACGGAGCAGGACUACAAUACCCUGGACGACGACGACCACCACGACUUCCUUAGUCCUGAAGCAAUGACGACGGCGAUGGCGAGAGGCAAGGGCUCGACUUCCAAGGGCGGUUCGAGUGCCUCGCUAGCCAGGCGAUCCGAUCCGAUCCGGCCCGGCGUUGUUGGAUGCAGGCACUCGAGUCCUGGCGUGGUCCUCCUCAAAUGCAGCGGCAGCGCGGCCGAAGACGAGGAGAGGUCUGACCGACCGACAGUGUUGCAUGGCGACUGA